rnacentral:rRNA from 1 species
GAUUGCGAUCAUACCAGCACUAAUGCACCGGAUCCCAUCAGGACUCCGUAGUUAAGCGUGCUUGGGUGAGAGUAGUACUAAGAUGGGUGACCCCCUGGGAAGUCUUCGUGUUGCAACUCC